rnacentral:lncRNA from 1 species
CUCUAUUUGCUGCUGCUCUGGAGUUCAAAAUGUCUUUUUUUCUUUUCUUUUCCAGCGAACAAACCAAAAACUCUCCCUUUUCUGUCUGAAAAGCCUUAUUGCUGUGCGGAACCUGCUGUCUGUCCUCUAUUACUGACCUCUCGUCCCCCCAUCAGGCUGGAUGAGACCAGACAAGGUGUUACUUCAUUCUGCAGGCAAACACACACACUGUCUGUGGUUUGAAAAUUUCAAGAGGCCAAUUUAAGGAAGCACGCCCACCGCAUUCCCUGGAGACGUGCUCCGAAAGGUCUGGACUUUUUUCACUCCCACAGUUCAGUGCGUUUUCACCCAGAUGCAAGCUCUUCCUAACACCUAUAUUUAAAACCACAAACCUGUGCCACAGGCCACAUGUACAGUAUAAUGGAACCCUUGGCUUGCCCAUCUCAGAUGAGAGCUACCACACCACAAACCCAAACACAGAUGUUUAACACAUGGUAGUUUCUUUUCUGCAGAACAAGAAGCUGCAAAUCCAGUUAAAUGAAUCAUUUCUAAUCUACAAUACAUACAUAUUACAGUCCCACCAGUAACCAGUUGGACAUAUAGGAUCAGUUUGAUCUUUUUUUUUUUUCUUCUUCAUUUUAUAUACUCCAUAAGACAUAUUAUCUUGUGAUAUUUACAUCGGAGAUGACUUUACAGAGAGUCAAACAUAGCAUAUUGUGUAAUUGACAUCUUAUAAAACAACAGUGAGUUUUGACAUUGAUGUUGAUUUAUUACUGAACAUCACAUCGUAUAAAAAGUGCAUUCCAGCUCGUCCGCGUUCCUGACCUUUGAUUGGGAACAAAAAGCCUGUUGCCAACGUCUCUGUGGAGUUCUACCACUACAGGUUUAUUAUUGAAGUAUUGGCAUUUUCAUUUGGGCAGCACAAGUGUGCAUAUCAGGAACUGAUUGCCAUUUGAUUUGAUUCAUAUAUCAAAAAGUACUGUGUGUGCAUAUCUGUAAAUGUGUAUAAAGGAGAACGUUUGUGAGUGUGAGAAGAAUUGUAAGGAUGUUUAGGGAAUCAAUAAAAUCAAUAAUAAUGCUGUUUUUAUAUCA